UAUUUAUUUUAUUAAUUUUUUUAAUUUUUUUAUUAUUUUUAAUUUGAAUAUUAUUAAUUUUUUUGUUUUUUAGUAUCUUUUUGAAUAAAAUAUUUUAUUGAUAGUUUAUUUUUACCGUAAGGGAUUUAUUAUAUUAAUUAUUUAAAUUAGAAUUUUUUUUGUACCUUUUGUAUCAGGGUAUAUUAAAUUAUUUAUAUUUAUUUAUUAUUCUCGAAUUAAAUUGAUCUAUUAUUAUAUGUUAGUUGCAGUUUUAUAUUCAUUAAUUAUAUUAUAGUAGGUGUGAUAUGCUAUUCGUAAUUUAUGAUAUCUAGUUUUCUUAUAGACAAAUUUAAUUUGGCUAUUUUUAUUUAAUUAUAUUUUUUUAAUUAUUUUAUUUAUUUAUAGUAAUAUUAAAGGAGAUUAGUUCUUUAUUAUUUUUAUAAUUUUUUUUUCUUGAUACUAUAUAGGUUUUAAACUAUCCAUUAUGUUUAGUAUAUUAUUAUUUAGUAUUUAUAUUCUUUGAUUUAUUUUUAUUUAAUUAUCUAUUUGAAUUUAAUUUUUAAUUUUUUAUUAUUUUUAAUAAUGAUUUAAUUAGUAUACUUUUUUUAUAAGAUUUUAUUUUUUUUAAUUAUUAAAAAGGAACUAGGCAAUCGAUUAUUUGUUCGCCUGUUUAUCAAAAACAUCUUCUCUUGAUAUUAAUUUGAGAUUUUACCUGCCCAAUGAUAUUUUAAUGGCCGCGGUAUUUUGACCGUGCAAAGGUAGCAUAAUCAUUAGUUUUUUAAUUGAGAACUGGUAUGAAUGGUUUGACGAAACAUUAACUGUCUCUUUAUUAUAUUAGAAAUUAAAAUUUGAGUUAAAAUGCUUAAAUUUACUUAUUGGACGAGAAGACCCUAUAGAUCUUUAUAAUUAUAUUUAUUAUAUAAUUUAGUUUAUUUUUUUUUUAUUAAAUAAUUUAUUUCGUUGGGGUGACUUGAAGAUAUAUUUAACUCUUUAUAUUUGUUUACAUUUAUUUUUGGAUUAUUGACCUUAUUUUAUUGUUAUAAGAUUAAGAUACCUUAGGGAUAACAGCGUAAUUAUUCUUGAGAGUUCUUAUUGACAGAUUAGAUUGCGACCUCGAUGUUGGAUUAAGAUUAUAUUUGGGUGUAGUAGCUUAAAAUUAGAUAGGUCUGUUCGACCUUUAAAUUCUUACAUGAUCUGAGUUCAAACCGGUGUGAGCCAGGUUGGUUUCUAUCCAUAAAUUUAUAUAUCAUAUUAGUACGAGAGGACCAUAUGAUUCAAAUAUUUUGUUAAUACUGAUUGAUU
rnacentral:rRNA from 1 species